ACCGAGUUCAUGCCCUCACGGGUAGAUCUCCCACCCUAUGUUAUCAUUACCUUUGUUGCUUUGGCGGGCCGCCAGGCUUCGGCUAGGCUACCGGCUCCGGCUGGUAAGCGCCCGCCAGAGGACCCCAAACUCUGAAUGUUAGUGUCGUCUGAGUACUAUCUAAUAGUUAAAACUUUCAACAACGGAUCUCUUGGUUCUGGCAUCGAUGAAGAACGCAGCGAAAUGCGAUAAGUAAUGUGAAUUGCAGAAUUCAGUGAAUCAUCGAAUCUUUGAACGCACAUUGCGCCCCUUGGUAUUCCGAGGGGCAUGCCUGUUCGAGCGUCAUUACAACCCUCAAGCACUGCUUGGUAUUGGGCUCCGCUGCUAACCCAGCGGGCCUUAAAACGAGUGGCGGCGCCCUCAGGCUCUGAGCGUAGUAAAUCUCCUCGCUAUAGAGUCCUGGUGGUGGUAGUCAUCAACCCCCAACUUUCUAAGUUUGACCUCGGAUCAGGUAGGGAUACCCGC
rnacentral:rRNA from 3 species